rnacentral:rRNA from 1 species
GACGUAGGGCGCGAGCGUUGUCCGGAUUUAUUGGGCGUAAAGAGCUCGUAGGCGGCUUGUCGCGUCGAAUGUGAAAACUCGGGGCUCAACUCCGAGCUUGCAUUCGAUACGGGCAGGCUAGAGGACGGUAGAGGCGUGUGGAAUUCCUGGUGUAGCGGUGAAAUGCGUAGAUAUCAGGAGGAACACCGGUGGUGUAGACGGCUCUCUGGACCGUAACUGACGCUGAGACACGAAAGCGUGGGGAGCAAACAGG